rnacentral:rRNA from 1 species
AUGAACGCUGGCGGCGUGCCUCAUACAUGCCAGUCGAGCGAACAGAUGAGGAGCUUGCUCCUCUGACGUUAGCGGCGGACGGGUGAGUAACACGUGGAUAACCUACCUAUAAGACUGGGAUAACUUCGGGAAACCGGGGCUAAUACCGGAUAAUAUAUUGAACCGCAUGGUUCAAUAGUGAAAGACGGUUUUGCUGUCACUUAUAGAUGGAUCCGCGCCGCAUUAGCUAGUUGGUAAGGUAACGGCUUACCAAGGCAACGAUGCGUAGCCGACCUGAGAGGGUGAUCGGCCACACUGGAACUGAGACACGGUCCAGACUCCUACGGGAGGCAGCAGUAGGGAAUCUUCCGCAAUGGGCGAAAGCCUGACGGAGCAACGCCGCGUGAGUGAUGAAGGUCUUCGGAUCGUAAAACUCUGUUAUUAGGGAAGAACAAAUGUGUAAGUAACUAUGCACGUCUUGACGGUACCUAAUCAGAAAGCCACGGCUAACUACGUG